rfam:Lactobacillus oligofermentans DSM 15707 = LMG 22743 strain DSM 15707 NODE_92, whole genome shotgun sequence.
ACCGACGUUUUACUUAGAGCUUGGUUCUAUUAAUUAUUAUGAAAGGUGGGAAACUAACAUGGCUAUUUCACAAGAACGUAAAACUGAAAUCAUGACUGAAUUUGCUCGUCAAGAA